rnacentral:lncRNA from 1 species
GUCCCUUUUAAUAGUCAGCAGUUGCCACAGCGGAAUGAACAGCCAACUUAGCCACUAUAUGCAGCAUAUUACGCAGCAGAUGGCCCUCCAGCUGCAACCCAAGACUGAUUACCAGCAGAGGUUGGACUAGUGGUUGGACUAGAUGGGGGAAAAGACAUGCUGUACUGCUGUCCAUGUUGUCUGCAUUCAGAUCCAGCCCUCGCCGAAGAAACAAUGUCCUCUCAAGGACAACACAGCGAAACACCUGUGACGCAAACUACAAUGAGACAAGCUGCAGCGCCUUCCUAGCAACACAAACCCCUUCAAACUGUCCUCUUCAAUGCAUUAAAUCAAAGCACAUGUAA